rnacentral:rRNA from 1 species
UACGUAGGGGGCAAGCGUUGUCCGGAUUUACUGGGCGUAAAGAGCGCGUAGGCGGAAACGCCAGUCCGGCUUGAAAGCCCCCGGCUCAACCGGGGAGAGUGGCUGGAAACUGCGUUUCUUGAGGGCGAGAGAGGAGGGUGGAAUUCCUGGUGUAGCGGUGAAAUGCGCAGAUAUCAGGAGGAACACCUAUUGCGAAGGCAGCUCGCUGGGACGUAACUGACGCUGAGACGCGAAAGCGUGGGGAGCAAACAGG